rnacentral:tRNA from 1 species
GUCCCUGUAGCGCAACGGAUAGCGCGUUGGAGCUCUGAUCCAAAGUUCGUGGGUUUUAAUCCCACCUGAGAUG